GGAGGAAAUGAGCAUCUUAACUACUGUUUUCUUAAGAUACGAUAACCAGAAGAUCAUAAUCCCGAACAGCGUGUUGGCUACGAAGGCCAUAAAUAACUACUACCGUAGCCCCGACAUGUUAGAGAUAGUUGAAUUCUGUAUCCAUGUGAAAACUCCUGCUGAAAAGAUUGGUCUCAUGAAGCAGAGGAUAUUGAGUUACAUCGAGCACAGGAGUGAUCACUGGUAUCAAGAUACGAUGAUCAUACUCAAGGAGCUCGAAGUGUUGAACCGAGUAAGGAUAGCAAUAUGGGUGACACAGAGAAUGAACCACCAAGACAUGGGAGAGAGGUUUAUAAGAAGGGCUCUCUUGAUCGAAGAACUGGUUAAGAUUUUCAACGAAUUGGAUAUUAAAUACCGCUUGUACCCUAUCGACAUCAAUGUUUGUGGCAUGCCUCCCAUGGCAUCAGACCGCCUUCCUCCGACUUGGACCGGACCUGCCAGUUGAACAAGGUAACAACCAAAGUUAGGACACCACAUUUUACUCCCUUCGUGACAUCGCUUUCCUGGAUAUGGUUAGUUUACAGGGAGAUGAUCUUUUCUGAUUUGCUAGAUGCUUCUUAAUGCUCAUGUUUUCUAUUCCUCGACUUCAAUGACUGGUAUUGAACCUGGUUGAGUCCUGUUUUGGAAUUGCUAAAGCAUAUAAAUUUAUAUAUGCCUGAAUCUUUUUGAGUC